AGCUCGUUCGCGUGAACUUCCCAAGCGCGCGAGGGGAAGGGGUGAAAACCUAGAUCGGUCAGCACUCCCCAAUCGCAUGCCUCCUCUGCUCCUCGUCCAAUCCCCAACUCCUCCUCUCCUCCCCAAUCGCCGCCACCCCUCCUCCUUCCCCAAUCUGCGCUGUUUUCUCCCGCUCUCUAGCGGGAGCAGCGCACGACGGAGGCGGCUGCACGCGGCAGCGGCGGGGCGGCGAUGGCUGGACGCGGCAGCGGUCGUGGCAGGGGCGGCCGGGUGCUUAAGAGGAGGGAGCACGGCCCAUGAGGUGAAGCAUGGCCAGGAGGUAGCCGCCGCCGCCGCCUCGUGCCUCACAUCAGGAGGACCUCACAUAAGGAGGCAGCGCGGGUGCGGGCGCCGCCGUUGCAUAGAGCGCCAGGAGGACACGGUCGCCACCACUCACGGACGUCGACGUGCCAAGAGUGACAGGCCGUGGCCACCAAGUUCUUCUUCCUCUCCUGGCAUCCACAGGCAUCCCUGAGCCAGCCUGAUCGCCAUCAACCUCUCGAGAAUGGUUUUGUGAUCUUUGGCAUUAAUUAAAGAAAAUGCUAAAGCGUAUAGAAGAGUGGUACCUGUAAUCAUGGGAUGUUGUUGUUUAAGCUUGCUAGAAUGUUCAUGGCCCUGGGUUGAGAAGCAGCGCUCGUCACGGCGAGCAGGCUGAUUUCAAGACGCCAAGUUAGGGCCCAGGGUCGCGCAGCCUCCGCCUGGCGCUGAGCUCCGUCCAUGGAGCCGCUCGCCACAUUGUCGUCUUGUUGGUUGUCCGUCCUACCUCUCCGGUGGCCCGUUUCGAUUUCAUGUAGGGUGAUGCCGCAUACCUUCAGCUGCUCGCAAGUUCUCAAAUGUAAACUUGAGGGCUGGAAUGGGGAGAAGCGGGAGGAGGUCUGGCAUGACAGGAUGUAGGUAAACAA